rnacentral:sRNA from 1 species
GCUGGGCAUGGUGGCUCAUGCCUGUAAUCCCAGCAGCUCAGGAGGUGGAUGCAGGAUGAUUGUGAGUUCAAAGCCAGCCUCAGCAAUGGCAAGGUGCUAAGCAAUUCAGUGAGACCCUGUCUCUG